rnacentral:rRNA from 1 species
UACGGAGGGUGCAAGCGUUAUCCGGAUUUACUGGGUUUAAAGGGUGCGUAGGUGGGUCUGUAAGUCAGUGGUGAAAUCUCCGGGCUUAACUCGGAAACUGCCAUUGAUACUAUCUGUCUUGAAUACCGUGGAGGUCAGCGGAAUAUGUCAUGUAGCGGUGAAAUGCUUAGAUAUGACAUAGAACACCAAUUGCGAAGGCAGCUGGCUACACGAAUAUUGACACUGAUGCACGAAAGCGUGGGGAUCAAACAGG